rnacentral:rRNA from 1 species
AGGUUAAUGAGGCGAACCGGGGGAACUGAAACAUCUAAGUACCCCGAGGAAAAGAAAUCAACCGAGAUUCCCCCAGUAGCGGCGAGCGAACGGGGAGGAGCCCAGAGCCUGAAUCAGUGUGUGUGUUAGUGGAAGCGUCUGGAAAGGCGUGCGAUACAGGGUGACAGCCCCGUACACAAAAAUGCACAUACUGUGAGCUCGAUGAGUAGGGCGGGACACGUGGUAUCCUGUCUGAAUAUGGGGGGACCAUCCUCCAAGGCUAAAUACUCCUGACUGACCGAUAGUGAACCAGUACCGUGAGGGAAAGGCGAAAAGAACCCCGGCGAGGGGAGUGAAAAAGAACCUGAAACCGUGUACGUACAAGCAGUGGGAGCCUCUUAAUGGGGUGACUGCGUACCUUUUGUAUAAUGGGUCAGCGACUUAUAUUCUGUAGCAAGGUUAACCGAAUAGGGGAGCCGAAGGGAAACCGAGUCUUAACUGGGCGUUAAGUUGCAGGGUAUAGACCCGAAACCCGGUGAUCUAGCCAUGGGCAGGUUGAAGGUUGGGUAACACUAACUGGAGGACCGAACCGACUAAUGUUGAAAAAUUAGCGGAUGACUUGUGGCUGGGGGUGAAAGGCCAAUCAAACCGGGAGAUAGCUGGUUCUCCCCGAAAGCUAUUUAGGUAGCGCCUCGUGAAUUCAUCUCCGGGGGUAGAGCACUGUUUCGGCAAGGGGGUCAUCCCGACUUACCAACCCGAUGCAAACUGCGAAUACCGGAGAAUGUUAUCACGGGAGACACACGGCGGGUGCUAACGUCCGUCGUGAAGAGGGAAACAACCCAGACCGCCAGCUAAGGUCCCAAAGUCAUGGUUAAGUGGGAAACGAUGUGGGAAGGCCCAGACAGCCAGGAUGUUGGCUUAGAAGCAGCCAUCAUUUAAAGAAAGCGUAAUAGCUCACUGGUCGAGUCGGCCUGCGCGGAAGAUGUAACGGGGCUAAACCAUGCACCGAAGCUGCGGCAGCGACACUAUGUGUUGUUGGGUAGGGGAGCGUUCUGUAAGCCUGUGAAGGUGUACUGUGAGGUAUGCUGGAGGUAUCAGAAGUGCGAAUGCUGACAUAAGUAACGAUAAAGCGGGUGAAAAGCCCGCUCGCCGGAAGACCAAGGGUUCCUGUCCAACGUUAAUCGGGGCAGGGUGAGUCGACCCCUAAGGCGAGGCCGAAAGGCGUAGUCGAUGGGAAACAGGUUAAUAUUCCUGUACUUGGUGUUACUGCGAAGGGGGGACGGAGAAGGCUAUGUUGGCCGGGCGACGGUUGUCCCGGUUUAAGCGUGUAGGCUGGUUUUCCAGGCAAAUCCGGAAAAUCAAGGCUGAGGCGUGAUGACGAGGCACUACGGUGCUGAAGCAACAAAUGCCCUGCUUCCAGGAAAAGCCUCUAAGCAUCAGGUAACAUCAAAUCGUACCCCAAACCGACACAGGUGGUCAGGUAGAGAAUACCAAGGCGCUUGAGAGAACUCGGGUGAAGGAACUAGGCAAAAUGGUGCCGUAACUUCGGGAGAAGGCACGCUGAUAUGUAGGUGAAGUCCCUCGCGGAUGGAGCUGAAAUCAGUCGAAGAUACCAGCUGGCUGCAACUGUUUAUUAAAAACACAGCACUGUGCAAACACGAAAGUGGACGUAUACGGUGUGACGCCUGCCCGGUGCCGGAAGGUUAAUUGAUGGGGUUAGCGGUAACGCGAAGCUCUUGAUCGAAGCCCCGGUAAACGGCGGCCGUAACUAUAACGGUCCUAAGGUAGCGAAAUUCCUUGUCGGGUAAGUUCCGACCUGCACGAAUGGCGUAAUGAUGGCCAGGCUGUCUCCACCCGAGACUCAGUGAAAUUGAACUCGCUGUGAAGAUGCAGUGUACCCGCGGCAAGACGGAAAGACCCCGUGAACCUUUACUAUAGCUUGACACUGAACAUUGAGCCUUGAUGUGUAGGAUAGGUGGGAGGCUUUGAAGUGUGGACGCCAGUCUGCAUGGAGCCGGCCUUGAAAUACCACCCUUUAAUGUUUGAUGUUCUAACGUUGGCCCCUGACCGGGGUUGCGGACAGUGUCUGGUGGGUAGUUUGACUGGGGCGGUCUCCUCCUAAAGAGUAACGGAGGAGCACGAAGGUUGGCUAAUCCUGGUCGGACAUCAGGAGGUUAGUGCAAUGGCAUAAGCCAGCUUGACUGCGAGCGUGACGGCGCGAGCAGGUGCGAAAGCAGGUCAUAGUGAUCCGGUGGUUCUGAAUGGAAGGGCCAUCGCUCAACGGAUAAAAGGUACUCCGGGGAUAACAGGCUGAUACCGCCCAAGAGUUCAUAUCGACGGCGGUGUUUGGCACCUCGAUGUCGGCUCAUCACAUCCUGGGGCUGAAGUAGGUCCCAAGGGUAUGGCUGUUCGCCAUUUAAAGUGGUACGCGAGCUGGGUUUAGAACGUCGUGAGACAGUUCGGUCCCUAUCUGCCGUGGGCGCUGGAGAACUGAGGGGGGCUGCUCCUAGUACGAGAGGACCGGAGUGGACGCAUCACUGGUGUUCGGGUUGUCAUGCCAAUGGCACUGCCCGGUAGCUAAAUGCGGAAGAGAUAAGUGCUGAAAGCAUCUAAGCACGAAACUUGCCCCGAGAUGAGUUCUCCCUGACUCCUUGAGAGUCCUGAAGGAACGUUGAAGACGACGACGUUGAUAGGCCGGGUGUGUAAGCGCAGCGAUGCGUUGAGCUAACCGGUACUAAUGAACCGUGAGG